rnacentral:rRNA from 1 species
UUACCGGCUCAGGCCAGCGCCCCAAAAGCGCGCUCCGGCCCGUCCCACCCCCUCGCGAACCUACCUGAAAACGUUGCUUCGGCGGGCGGCCCCAGGGCGGGGCCACCCGCGGCCCGGGCGCAUUCCCGGGUGCCCGCCGCGAGCCUACCACAAAACAUCUCCUACCCAAGAGUCCCAUCUGAGCCUUCCGACCCGGCGUGCCGCCGGCGAGGAUUUCUUCCAAUCAAAACUUUCAACAACGGAUCUCUUGGUUCUGGCAUCGAUGAAGAACGCAGCGAAAUGCGAUAAGUAAUGUGAAUUGCAGAAUUCAGCGAAUCAUCGAAUCUUUGAACGCACAUUGCGCCCGCCAGCAUUCUGGCGGGCAUGCCUGUCCGAGCGUCAUUGCACCCCUCGGGCGCGCGGGCCGCUACAGGCCCGCCGCGCCCGGCGUUGGGGCCAGCGGCGGAGCGCAUCCCGCGCCGCCGCGGCCCCCAAAUGCAGUGGCGGGACCCCGCCUGGGAACCCGAGCGCAGUAGCACCAUGCUCGCUCCGGGGCGCCCGCGGGGCCCACCGCCGGCCGCGCACGGCCGCAACCUCCACACACAAAGACGUUGACCUCGGAUCAGGUAGGAAGACCCGCU